rnacentral:SRP_RNA from 1 species
GCCAGGUGUGGCACACGCCUGUAGUCCCAGCUACUCGGGAGGCUGAGGCAGGAGGGUCGCUUGAGCCCAGGAGUUCUGGUCUGUAGUGUGCUAUGCUGAUCAGGCAUCCACGCUAAGUUCAGCAUCAAUAUGGUGACCUCCCAGGAGCUGGGGCCACCGGGUUGUCUAAGGAGAGGGGGACCAGCCCAGGUCAGAAAUGGAGCAGGUCAGAAUUCCCGAGCUGAUCAGCAUGGGAUCGCGUCUGAAUAACCACUGCAUCCCAGCCUGGGCAACACAGUGAGACCUCGUCUCCU